rnacentral:rRNA from 1 species
AAUUUUGGACAAUGGGGGGAACCCUGAUCCAGCCAUCCCGCGUGUGCGAUGAAGGCCUUCGGUUGGUAAAGCACUUUUGGCAGGGAAGAAACGGCCCGGGAUAAUACCCUCGGCUACUGACGGUACCUGGAGAAUCAGCACCGGUGAACUACUUGCCAGCAGCCGCGGUAAUACGUAGGGUGCAAGCGUUAAUCGGAAUUACUGGGCGUAAAGCGUGCGCAGGCGGUUCGGAAAGAAAGGUGUGAAAUCCCAGGGCUUAACCUUGGAACUGCACUUUUAACUACCGAGCUAGAGUACGUCAGAGGGGGGUAGAAUUCCACGUGUAGCAGUGAAAUGCGUAGAGAUGUGGAGGAAUACCGAUGGCGAAGGCAGCCCCCUGGGAUGAUACUGACGCUCAUGCACGAAAGCGUGGGGAGCAAACAGG